rnacentral:rRNA from 1 species
AUUGAACGCUGGCGGCAGGCCUAACACAUGCAAGUCGAACGAGCGGCGGACGGGUGAGUAAUGUCUGGGAAACUGCCUGAUGGAGGGGGAUAACUAAUGGAAACGGUAGCUAAUACCGCAUACCAUCAGAUGUGCCAAGAUGGGAUUAGCUGGUAGGUGGGGUAAUGGGUCACAUAGGAGACGAGCCCUAGCUGGUCUGAGAGGAUGACCAGCCACACUGGAACGUAGACACGGUCCAGACUCCUACGGUAGGCAGCAGUGGGGAAUAUUGCACAAGGGGCGCAAGCCUGAUGCAGCCAUGCCGCGUGUAUGAAGAAGGCCUUCGGGUUGUAAAGUACUUUCAGCGGGGAGGCGUUACCCGCAGAAGAAGCACCGGCUAACUCCGUGCCAGCAGCCGCGGUAAUUC